ACAAGCUUUCGGGAGAACCUCCCUUUCUCAAUGCUUCAGACUUGAGAAAGGGAGGUUCUCCCGAAAGCUUG
rnacentral:miRNA from 1 species